GUGGAAGGCUCAUGCAUAAUGACGAAGGUCAUCAGUUCGUCCUGAAGCCCGGGCUUCGCGUGCUCCUGGCAGAGGGCAGCAGCUCUCCCACACCUCUCUGCAGGUAGCCGUGGACAGAGCCGUUCAGAGCUCCCCACAGGUGGGCCCACCCUUCCCUGAAGCGCAGCCCUGGGGAGCCAGGCUGUGAGCCAAUGUCCUCACCUGCACUGGGCAGUCCAGACUGAAAUCCGCUGGUGGCCAGGGUGGCAACGGUCCUGACUUGGCUGCAUCUUCCACAGCCUGAUGUCCAGGCAGGAGUCCUCACGCCAGAGUUUUUAACCCUUCAAUGUCUAAGCUAUUUCUCAUGUCCUGGAAUGUGGGACUCACCGCUGCGUCCUGGGGAAGCAGCCCACGGAGAGCCUAUGUGAGCACGAGGACCUCCACUUCCUAGAUGAGCACCUGCUUGGAACGUCAGGCACAGAUCGGCAAGCAUGGAGGCUGAUGGAAAGCGAGGCGAGAGGCUUCGGCGGAGAGGUGGGGCCUGGCACCGCAAGAGGGAUGCGGGCGGGAGCCAGAGGGAAAGGACAGCACACUUGUGUCUGCCUCUUUCCUUGAUGGCGUGAGGGACAGCUGAACAAUGAGACUGGAAAAGAACUAGAGCUUGCCAAGCAGGCAGAUUCCCUUCGCUCUGCUGGUAGGCAGUGGCUUCCGCAGCUGUGCAUGGUGGGGGUUCUUCCUACUGCAGACUCAGCGGGGAAGGGGCAGCUACUUGGCCAUCACUCUGCCCGGAAUUGGGGUACCUUCUCUCUGACAGAACACAAACUGUAUACUGAGAAGAACAGACGAAAAAUGGUAGUGGGUGUUGGUGGACUUUCCCCUACCUGGUUUUCUCACAGGUGCUUCACACCUGGGGGCUAGGGCGGAGUGGAUACAUCGUAGGUGCUGGACCCCACACGGAGCGGCCUGCACACCGCUUCUUGGUCUUCACAGUGCCCCAUGGAAGGAGGAACUAGAGCAACCACAGCACAGGAGGACAUUCUGGCACCGAGAAGAUCCUCCAUGAGAGCCGGUUCGUUCCCCUCCCGGAGAAGCGUGGCUCCACGCCCGUGUACACUGGGACGAAUUAGAGAUCGCCAAGUGCCCAGUGAAAGAGGGAAUAAAGAAACGAGUGGCUGCACAUGGCCCUCCCAAGCCUUUCACAGCUCUGUUUUGUGUCGACUGGCCUAGGCAGCGCCUCACUGUGAGAGGGUCCUCCACUCCCAGCCACUGUUUGUUUUCCUUCCUCUCCUCUCCCACC
rnacentral:lncRNA from 13 species